CGCCAAGGGCAAACCCGUCGUGAGGCGGGGACGCAAAGCCACAGCUCUGCGGCGCAGGUCGCAGAGGGCUGGGUUGCCG
rnacentral:ncRNA from 1 species